rnacentral:antisense_RNA from 1 species
GUAACUGGUAAAUGAAUUUCAUUUGCUUAACUUUUAAAUGAUAUGUUUCAGACAAAAAAAAAAGUUGUACACCCACUUAUCUCUUUAAAGCAGAGGAUGAAAAGCAUUGAAUAGGUAGGAUUCUUAAUGUCUGAGAUGAAGGUGAUGUAGGAGGCAAACAAUACGGUUAAAAAUGUUGAGUCGACCCAAACAGAAAGACCAGGUUUCAAUCCAGACUCUGCGGCUUACUGAGAAUAUGAUCUUGAGUAAACUGCUUGACCUUCCUGAGCCUCAGCUUUCUUACUUGUUAAAUGGACUUUAACAAUAUCUGUUAGGACUGUGGUGAGGAUGAAAUCAGGGAAAUCAGUCACAGCAGUGCUCUCCUGGCACAGUAAUGUCUUACAAUAACAGAAUGCAGGAGAGCACAUAUCAAUGAAGAAAAGACAAAAUGUAUUUAUCCAUGAAGCUGAGGUUAAGAAACCAGUGUCUUCAAGAGCCGGGGACAGCACUGGGUCUGUGCAGAGUUGAGAGAUGGUGAUGACAUGUGGUUUCCAGCAUUCCUGGCCCAGUCCAGGGACACUGUGGGUGUGCCCAGCUUAAGUCCAGUAACUGGAAAUACAAGCCCAAGUUCUGGAGAGUUUGAGCUGCAG